rnacentral:rRNA from 1 species
CUAGCGGCGGACGGGUGAGUAUGCUUAGGAUCUGCCAUUUAGUGGGGGACAACAUUCCGAAAGGAAUGCUAAUACCGCAACGUCCUACGGGAGAAAGCAGGGGAUCUUCGGACCUUGCGCUAAAUGAUGAGCCUAAGUCGGAUUAGCUAGUUGGUGGGGUAAAGGCCUACCAAGGCGACGAUCUGUAGCGGGUCUGAGAGGAUGAUCCGCCACACUGGGACUGAGACACGGCCCCAGACUCCUACGGGAGGCAGCAGUGGGGAAUAUUGGACAAUGGGCGGAAGCCUGAUCCAGCCAUGCCGCGUGUGUGAAGAAGGCCUUAUGGUUGUAAAGCACUUUAAGCGAGGAGGAGGCUACUUAGAUUAAUACUCUGGGAUAGUGGACGUUACUCGCAGGAUAAGCACCGGCUAACUCUGUGCCAGCAGCCGCGGUAAUACAGAGGGUGCGAGCGUUAAUCGGAUUUACUGGGCGUAAAGCGUGCGUAGGCGGCUUUUUAAGUCGGAUGUGAAAUCCCCGAGCUUAACUUUGGGAAUUGCAUUCGAUACUGGGAAGCUAGAGUAUGGGAGAGGAUGGUAGAAUUCCAAGGUGUAGCGGUGAAAUGCGUAGAGAUCUGGAGGAAUACCGAUGGCGAACGCAGCCAUCUGGCCUAAUACUGACGCUGAGGUACGAAAGCAUGGGGGAGCAAACAUGAUUAGAUACCCUGAUAGUCCAUGCCGGUAAACGAUGUCUACUAGCAUGGGGCUUUGAGGCUUUAGUGGCGC